rnacentral:rRNA from 1 species
UACGUAGGGUGCAAGCGUUGUCCGGAAUUAUUGGGCGUAAAGAGCUCGUAGGCGGUUCGUCGCGUCGGCUGUGAAAUCCCGAGGCUCAACCUCGGGUCUGCAGUCGAUACGGGCGGACUGGAGUUCGGCAGGGGAGACUGGAAUUCCUGGUGUAGCGGUGAAAUUCGUAGAUAUCGGGAGGAACACCAGAGGCGAAGGCGGCGACCUGGACAAGUACUGACACUCAACUACGAAAGCGUGGGGAGCAAACAGG